AGCGAACGCUGGCGGCAGGCCUAACACAUACAAGUCGAACGAACCCUUCGGGGUUAGUGGCGGACGGGUGAGUAACACGUGGGAACGUGCCUUUAGGUUCGGAAUAACUCAGGGAAACUUGUGCUAAUACCGAAUGUGCCCUUCGGGGGAAAGAUUUAUCGCCUUUAGAGCGGCCCGCGUCUGAUUAGCUAGUUGGUGAGGUAAUGGCUCACCAAGGCUACGAUCAGUAGCUGGUCUGAGAGGAUGACCAGCCACAUUGGGACUGAGACACGGCCCAAACUCCUACGGGAGGCAGCAGUGGGGAAUCUUGCGCAAUGGGCGAAAGCCUGACGCAGCCAUGCCGCGUGGAUGUUGAAGGUCUUAGGAUUGUAAAAUCCUUUCACCGGUGAAGAUAAUGACUGUAGCCGGAGAAGAAGCCCCGGCUAACUUCGUGCCAGCCGCCGCGGUAAAAC
rnacentral:rRNA from 1 species